UACGGUGGGGGCAAGCGUUGUUCGGAAUUACUGGGCGUAAAGGGCUCGUAGGUGGCCAACUAAGUCAGACGUGAAAUCCCUCGGCUUAACCGGGGAACUGCGUCUGAUACUGGAUGGCUUGAGUUCGGGAGAGGGAUGCGGAAUUCCAGGUGUAGCGGUGAAAUGCGUAGAUAUCUGGAGGAACACCGGUGGCGCAGGCGGCAUCCUGGACCGACACUGACACUGAGGAGCGAAAGCCAGGGGAGCAAACGGG
rnacentral:rRNA from 1 species